UUGCCAGACUCCUACGGGAGGCAGCAGUGAGGAAUAUUGGUCAAUGGCCGGAAGGCUGAACCAGCCAAGCCGCGUGAAGGGCGAAGGUGCCAAGCAUUGUAAACUUCUUUUGUCAAGGGACAAAAUCAGGCUCGAGAGCCCGACCGAGGGUACUUGAAGAAAAAGCAUCGGCUAAAUACGUGCCAGCAGCCGCGGUAAUACGUAUGGUGCAAGCGUUAUCCGGAUUUACUGGGUGUAAAGGGAGCGCAGGCGGCACGGCAAGCCUGAUGUGAAAGCCCGCGGCCCAACCGCGGGACUGCAUUGGGAACUGCCGGGCUGGAGUGCCGGAGAGGUAGGCGGAAUUCCUAGUGUAGCGGUGAAAUGCGUAGAUAUUAGGAGGAACACCAGUGGCGAAGGCGGCCUACUGGACGGUGACUGACGCUGAGGCUCGAAAGCGUGGGGAGCAAACAGGAUUAGAUACCCCAGUA
rnacentral:rRNA from 1 species